rnacentral:lncRNA from 1 species
AGGCCCAAAGUAUACAAUUACACAUCACUGUUCAUUAUGGAAGGAUCUCAGAGAAGAAACUCAAACAGGGCAGGAACCUGGAGGCAAGAGCUGAUGCAGAGGCCAUGGAAGAAGGGUGCUGCUUACUAGCUUGCUGGUUAUCUAUCAGGUUGUCUCAUUAAUUUGAUUUUCUUCCUUCCUUCCUUCCUUCCUUCCUUCCUUCCUUCCUUCCUUCCUUCUUUCCUUCCUUCCUUCCUUCCUAGCAGACAUUUCUCACAAAUACUGAUAAUAGCUUUUAUUAUUAUUAUUAUUAUUAUUAUUCAGCUUUCUGCUGUUAUUUAUGCUUACCACAGGAUAAUUCACUGGCCCGGAAGACAGUGGGGCCUAACAAAUCAGCCCACAGAGUCCAGACAUAAAAGGAUUGCAACAGUGCUUCAAGGGUCUUUCAAUCAAUUAUUAUGGCCUCCAGAGAGACAUCAAGUUCUACUAAGAAGCUAUCAACGUGAUGGAGCAGAGAAGGCCUCUCUCCUAACACUGUCCGAUGACCCAGGUGGCCUCUCUACUCCACAUACUUCACACAGGAGCUGUUUGUUAGCUCUUUGAGCACUCAGCAGCGUGCAAGGCCACAGCAGUUGGAGGAGUGAGGGCUCGUGCCUUCCCCAGUUUUCGGACUUCUCUUUUCUAUUCUUUUCUGAUUUUUUAAAAAAAUUGUUUUAAUUUUUUCUCUUUUUGAUUCAGUAAUAGAAGUUGUGGGGGGAAAUAGCAUUUGACAGCAUCGAACAACACUAAAUGAAAAACGAGAUUCCCUUCAACUACUCUAUCUGAGACUUUUCAAAGGUCCACCCUCCCACCACCCCAGGAAUGCUCUACACAUAUUUAUACUCAUUGUAUUUUCAGUCUUUCUGAAAUGGUAGUGUAUUAGACAUAUUUUCUGUACCACACAUUUAUUUUCUUUUUAAAGGCUGUUUACUGUUAAAACAGCUCUGCUUCUUCUUUUUUUAAAUGCUGUUUAAUAUCAGCUAGAAUAUGACUCUACCUAAUGAACAUUUGGUUGGUUCCCAUUUUCCCCCUCCCCUUCUCCCUCUUGCUUUGGCCCCACUUGCUCUCCCUCCCCCC